UGGGGAAUAUUGCACAAUGGGCGCAAGCCUGAUGCAGCAACGCCGCGUGAGUGAUGAAGGCCUUCGGGUCGUAAAACUCUGUCCUAAGGGAAGAUAAUGACGGUACCUUAGGAGGAAGCCCCGGCUAACUACGUGCCAGCAGCCGCGGUAAUACGUAGGGGGCAAGCGUUAUCCGGAAUUACUGGGCGUAAAGGGUGCGUAGGUGGCCUGACAAGUCAGGGGUCAAAGGCAACGGCUCAACCGUUGUAAG
rnacentral:rRNA from 1 species